CAGGGGGCAGCACCCCAGAGAAAGGGGCACCGGGUCCAGGGAGGGACACGGGGGCCAGACGAACAGGUGGAUCACUGGCCUGCAGAGGGCGCUCCGGCGCUGGACGGAGCAAAUUCCAUGAGUCACCAGCAGGAGGCGCCGCAGGGCCUCUGAAGCAUCUGUCACUGCAGCAGCUGAACACCAUAAUAAAGGUGCCUGAUACUAUGGUGAUGGGAGUCAUCUGUGUGUGGAGAUAGAUAUCCAGAUGUCUACUUUCAAUAUUUUUUCUAUGUAAAGACUCCAUAAAAGUUAUGUUGGCAACUUUUAACAAAGAAGGAUGUGUCUUUUGCACUGUUCACCUUCUGAUGCACAAGCCCCACGUUUCUGCAGAACCAUUCUAUAUGAAGAGCUAGCAGGAUCCCGCAUCACUGGAGAGCUCAGCUGGAUGUUCCUCUGACAGAGUGGUCUAACCCAGUUGUUUUGCCCAAUGUGUCACAACAAGCUUCUUCCCAACUCAAUCUGUGUGGUCGGAAUCCUGGUACCCACAUGACAGGAGUCAGAAGACACCCAAAUGAGGCAGUGUGGAGAUGGAAGGCUCUGUAGAAAGUACCCAGGACUGCAAGAUAUGCAGACUCACUGUUUCUAUUCAGAGGCACUUCCUCUAUAGUAGUGAUGCCACGGUAGUGCAUACCCUCCUUGCCUUCCACAUGGGUGUGUCUUGACUUAGCUCAGCAGAGAUUGCUCAACCACUCCAAAUUAUGGGCACCUGGUCAGGUUGGUAGAUGGAACAAAGCUCAGUGAACGGAGGGAAUAACAUAAGAAAGUUUCUUUCCACAAAGAUAUUUUUAUUUUGUUAGUAACCAAGCCCAUGAACAGAAUCCAUAGAUUAUAGUUUGUAGAGACUCAGAUUCUGAGUGGACAGUGAAUGACAUUCCUCUCAGUUUUUAACUACAUGGAUCUUGAUAUUCUUCUGAACAGAAAAUCAUUUAAGAUGGCCAGGUAGCUCUAAGAUACACUGUCCUUUUAUAUUGGUGACAAAAUAUCAAGCUCUCAAAUUGUCAUGGUUUAUAUGGGUCACUAAAUACAUGAAUAUACUAUUCUUUAAGUCCAGUUAGUAACUUCAAACCAAGUCCUGCUCCCAUUGAAAUCAACAGCAAAACUCCCACUGAGUUCAGGAGGAAAUAUAACGGGCCACUGCAGCAUAUUUCCACUCUGGCAACUGAUUAAAAAUGGCAGGUGCCAUAUUCAUUGUUACUCAGCAACUCCAGAACAAAUAUGCUCAGUUUAUAAAUAAAUGUCAUUCCCUAACUGCCAAGCCAAGGAAACUCAGCUAAGACA